CAACAGUGGCAGAUUCACAGGGCAACAAGAUCAUCCCAGUGCCUAUCAACCAAGUGAUUGUGGCUCAACCUCUUGCCCAGUCUAGAAAUAGGAAGCCAAUCAUUUGUCAAGUUCAGUGACACCAGACUUCCACAUAUUACCCCACUGCAGUAUGUGCUACAGACAGAUGCACCCCGGUGACUAAACACUCUGCUCGGAGACGUCUAGCUUGGGAUCAGUCUUGUCAUAUCAGAUGAAAUCACGUGCAGUAUCAACUAC